GUUUGAAGCUUGUGAGUUAUUGUGGAGGUGUUUGACAUGUGUCCUAACUUUCUUUCAGGUGCAGAUGCAUUGCAUCCAUGGCAGAGGGUCAGAGUCAGGAGGUGCAGGGCCUUCUUAGGAGCGCGCUGUCUGAGAGACACCAGCCCGGUGCCAGCAGGACCUUCCCAGGUGACGAGGUGGCCUUUCUUUGCACCUGACACAGACUGGCAUCCCCUGAUGUCUGAGAGAUAAGUAGAGGGCUGUGACCCACAGAGGGGAUGAACGUGGGGUGCUGGGUCGGGACUCCCUGAGGUGGGGGUCUGAGUUGGCUCUGGCAAUGAGGUUAGCCAAGAUGUGGCCCCUUAGGCCCCAUAAAAGCAAAGUCUCCCUUUUGGUCACAGUGCUGAGGUGCGCAGCAGGGCAGAGCAGUCCCGGUGUGUCUCGUGUCACUUGUCUUUUGUGUAUUGUGUGUUGUCUGGAUAUCUCAUGUCUCUUAUCUUAGCCCUGUGAGAAGCCUCUCAGAAACCUUUCCUAGCAUCCGUGAUCUCAGCGUUCCUUGCCCUGGCACCCAUGCCAUAGAACUUUUGACUGGGGAGCUCACACAGCCAUCAGAAAUGCAUCUCUCUUUAGAAGCGUCCUGUCAGAUGUCUUGUCAUGUCUUGUUCUGAGCUGUACGGACAGCCAUGCUGCGCAAUGAUCCAUUAUAGCAGACUGGGACUUGUAAGAAUGUGAGGUUUGGGAGAGGAUUCUGACUGUAGGAUUCCCGAGCCACCAUCUUUGCAGUUUUUGGAAUAAAUCAUUCAGUUUGCAUCUUCUUUCUCCAGGGUUCUCUGAGCUUCAUCAGCUCGCCAUCAGCUUCAACUCUUCUUCUUUUGCGUUCUCUCAGUCCUUGCAGCCAUUUUCCUUGCUAAGAGAUUUCUGUUCCUGUUGUGUCCCCAGUGUUUGUCCUGUCCUGUCCUGCCUGUCCUGUGUCACGGGAGUCAGCACACAUAUGUGCUGGAGCUGCUCUGCCCUGCCGCACAGCCUGGUGCGAUAGGAGAAGUCCCAGGGACUUGGAAUGUGUAAUGUGGGGUGUAGUUGGACUCUAGAUGGGAUUUGUAGGUGGACACAGGAUAUCCGGAGCUCCUCAGUUAUCCUGCAACUGUUUGACUCUUGUCCUACCUUUUUUUUCAGAUUGAGAUGGAUUAAAUCUGUGCCAGAGGGCCCCGUCCCGGGUGAGGGGAUUGCCCCGAGCAGGAAGUCAAUCUGGGUACCAGCAGCCAAGGUGCCACCCCUAAUGAAGGCCCCAGCCUUGGAAUCAGGAUGAAGCUGGAGCCUGAGGGAGCCAGGCACACUCAGGAAAGGGGAAGUAGCUGACUUGCAGGGAUUUGGCCCACAUAACUCUGGACUCAUACUUUGGAUUUGGUUUUCUUUAUUGCAGCUGACCGAGAGGCUCACAGGCCAUCACGGGGCCCUCCAAGGCAGACUCAUUUCAGGUGCAGCGUGGAUUCUCAUGACUGACCAUCCAAAAGAUAAGUUGAGGGCCACGGCCUGGAGAUGGCGGAGUAGCAGGUUGGGAAUCCCUGGGACAGAUUUAAAAAUGAGCAGAGGGGAAAGCAAUCUUCUCCAAGGGCCUCUUAGGACAGCUAAAGGGAGAGGCUCUGCUUUUGAUGGCAGCUUUCAGCUGGGCAGUGCAGAACAGCUCUGGUCUGUGUCGUGUUGUCCGGUGUGCCGUGUUCCCUAGUGUGUCUUUGGGGUCCCUUUUGCCUUUUUCCCCUCGAGGCCCUCACCACAAGCAUGAUGUGUCAUGUUUCAUGUCCCCCUGUUUGUCACGUUCUGUGUCACGGGUGUGUGCUCACAUUUGUGCUGGAGCUGUUCUGCCCUGCCGCAUGGCCUUCUGCCGUAGUAAAAAUUCCAGAAAUAAAAAUCUUGACGCAGAAAUAUUUAAUCAAAUAUAAAAAAAUAUGAAUAAAAAGAUAUAAAAAAUAUGAAAAACU